GUGGGCCAGACUCUAAAGAUUCUGGAUGCAUGUACUCUAAUAGUGUGAUUAGUAUGCAUCUCACAAUUUAUAGCCAGAAUGUCACACCGCCACAAGCGGGGAGGUGUGUUGUGUGUUUAUUUUGUCCUUUUUUGGGAGUGUGAGAGGUGCUUGGUGGGUUUUCUUUUUUGUUUGUCUGUGUGUGGUUUCUGUCUCUCUCCCUCUCGCUCGUCCUUUCCUUCCUCUCCCUCAGGGCGGAGUUGUGGGCAGCGCCACUGGAACACUGGGCAUUUCUCCCCAGCUGCAGGCAAUCUGCUUUUGGCACACCUGUCUCCUGUGAUCAUCAGGACUGGCUCUUAUACCCUGCCAUCUCCUCAGUUCCCUGCUGGAUUAUUAAGUCAUGUCUAGACCCUGCUCUGCUCUUGUGCCACUCUGAUUACGGAGAAUGCCUAGUUGGAGAUUCACCAUCAGACUCACUUCUCAGUCCGCCACCCAUUUCCCUGACUUGCCUGCCUGCGCUCUUACCCGCCACACCAGAGGCACCUUUCCCCCAGCAUCAAACCUGUCUCACCAAAUCUUGUGUUCAAUAAACUGUGUGAAAACCUU